CUCUACAUACCUCCACCUUCUAACUCCAAGAAGUCAAACCAUGGGUCUCAUGACUAAACUCCAACAGGCCAGCAUCCUCCCCAAAAAGACCUUUAGGUGCGGGCCCUCUGUCUUGGACUUCUCAACCUCCAGAACAUGGUGUCAGAAGCAGGAUCCCAAGCAGAGCUUCUAGUGACCUCCAGGAGCGCUGAGUGAACACUCGAGGUACCAGCACUCGCGGACCCACUUGUGUCCAUGGAUCUCUCAGAGCGGCUCCGGAUGGUGGGUAAGCUCACUCUCAGAUUUUGGAGCUCCAUGGAUUUGCGUUUUGAGCUCUCUGAGUUUCUUUGAGCAAAUUUCUA
rnacentral:lncRNA from 1 species